GAGCUUAAAUAGUUUGCCAACCGCGUAAUCCGUCUUUCCGACUUCGGCUGUGUAUUCUGUGCAGUCGUCUGAACGCGAAUGUCAUUUGAAGAUUUAGUGUUGGGCACAAAUUUGACAGAACAAGCAUUUAAUGUGAGUCAGAGGACACGUUAGUUGAGCUGCAGUCUGUAUUAAUGCUAAAAUGUUUGACUUGUUAGCAUAACUUAGAUGUUAGCUCAAACUGCCGGGCCUCAAGGCACCCACGUGGAGAGCAAAGAAAGAUGGAGAAGGUGGUGGAAAAUCCGCCAAAUGGAAGGCGGUGGUGUAGCUGCACUUCAAGUGUCUCAGACGUGACAUAGGUUUCGGCCUUGUUUCACGUCCUUCAGAGGUUAAAAUGGGUUUAAACAAGACCACAGAAAUUUCCAGGCUUAAAAGCUAAAAUGACUGUCCUCUGCCAGAUGUUAAACCGAGAAUACAUAUGCAGUUGACCUGGAAGCACCAAACAUUCCUCCUUCCAAACAAGCCAUGUGAGGAUUCAGUCUUUCCAGAGAUGGUGUCUUCUGUCUUGGGCCGAUCUUGGAUUUCUGCUGCAGCAUCACCUUUAAGCUUGUGCCAGUCCAGUGUGUUCUGAUCAGGUCUUACCCUUCCAGUCCAGGAUGUCAUUGAUGCAGGGGAGAGGAGUGUUCCCAGCAACUUAAACAGCUGAAAGAUUGGGCAGGUGAGACAUGCAGAUAGGUAACAGUUUUCCACUUGAAGUGAAUUUCAGAAGUAAAAUGCCAUCCAUAGCCGUGAAAACGGUGAAUUCCUGUGUUGAAAUGCCAUUUAAUCACCAGAAUACUUCAUUAAUCCCAGGGGAAUUUGUUGUGUUCCAGUUGUUCAUGGAGUAAAGUCCCUUAAAGUAUUGCAGAGAUGCUAAAGAUUACCUGUUGCAAAACAAAGUCUGUGAGGAUUAAAUGACACUUAAGAGAAGCAUAGUGGUUAAAGGUGUUAAAACAACUAGCUGUGCUGUGGACUGUAAAUGAACUUUCAUUGUGCUGUAACAUGGAAAAUGCCACUGCAGUAUGUGAUGGUGCUCAUCCAAUAUCAGUACUAUUGUACAAAAUGGAUUCUUAAUGUAAACUUGCGUUUAAGAACUAGGUUAUUUUCAGCCAUUGAGCAAAUGCAAAAACCUUUAUCAGAAACAAGGGGUAAAUUGUGAAUAAGAUUUGUAUAAUUGUAUCAUCCGCUGUCAUGGGAUUGCACACCAAGGCUCACCUGAAAUUGCUUCAGUUUUUAGUAUUGCAUUAAGGCUUUGUGUAAUCAUGUUUUUACUUUAAUAUUUUCUUCUUUUCCUUUACAGCUGGUGGAAGGAUUCUGUUGGACUUUGGAAGUUUGAUUUACCUGUUUAUAUAUUCUGCAUUUGUAAAAUGCAAUUUGAUUAAACACUUUGUUUAAAAUAUC